UGGCGGCGUGCCUAAUACAUGCAAGUCGAACGCUUCUUUUUCCACCGGAGCUUGCUCCACCGGAAAAAGAGGAGUGGCGAACGGGUGAGUAACACGUGGGUAACCUGCCCAUCAGAAGGGGAUAACACUUGGAAACAGGUGCUAAUACCGUAUAACAAUCAAAACCGCAUGGUUUUGAUUUGAAAGGCGCUUUCGGGUGUCGCUGAUGGAUGGACCCGCGGUGCAUUAGCUAGUUGGUGAGGUAACGGCUCACCAAGGCCACGAUGCAUAGCCGACCUGAGAGGGUGAUCGGCCACAUUGGGACUGAGACACGGCCCAAACUCCUACGGGAGGCAGCAGUAGGGAAUCUUCGGCAAUGGACGAAAGUCUGACCGAGCAACGCCGCGUGAGUGAAGAAGGUUUUCGGAUCGUAAAACUCUGUUGUUAGAGAAGAACAAGGAUGAGAGUAACUGUUCAUCCCUUGACGGUAUCUAACCAGAAAGCCACGGCUAACUACGUGCCAGCAGCCGCGGUAAUACGUAGGUGGCAAGCGUUGUCCGGAUUUAUUGGGCGUAAAGCGAGCGCAGGCGGUUUCUUAAGUCUGAUGUGAAAGCCCCCGGCUCAACCGGGGAGGGUCAUUGGAAACUGGGAGACUUGAGUGCAGAAGAGGAGAGUGGAAUUCCAUGUGUAGCGGUGAAAUGCGUAGAUAUAUGGAGGACACCAGUGGCGAAGGCGGCUCUCUGGUCU
rnacentral:rRNA from 1 species